GACAGAGGUUGCAAACGUUGUUCGGAAUUACUGGGCAUAAAGCGCACGUAGGCGGUCCGUUAAGUCAUGUGUGAAAUCCCCCGGCUCAACCGGGGAAUUGCGCCUGAUACUGGCGGGCUAGAGAUCGAUAGGGGUGAGCGGAACUCCAGGUGGAGCGGUGAAAUGCGUAGAUAUCUGGAGGAACACCGGUGGCGAAAGCGGCUCACUGGAUCGAAACUGACGCUGAGGUGCGAAAGCUAGGGUAGCAAAAGGG
rnacentral:rRNA from 1 species